rnacentral:rRNA from 1 species
CCUACGGGAGGCAGCAGUGGGGAAUAUUGCACAAUGGGGGAAACCCUGAUGCAGCGACGCCGCGUGAGUGAAGACGUCCUUCGGGAUGUAAAGCUCUAUCAGCAGGGAAGAAAAUGACGGUACCUGAGGAAGAAGCCACGGCUAACUAAGUGCCAGCAGCCGCGGUAAUACGUAGGUGGCAAGCGUUAACCGGAUUUACUGGGUGUAAAGGGAGCGUAGGCGGAAGUGCAAGUCAGGUGUGAAAUGCUCGGGCUCAACUCGCGGGCUGCGGUGGAAACUGGACGGCUAGAGUGCAGGAGAGGUAAGUGGAAUUCCUAGUGUAGCGGUGAAAUGCGUAGAUAUUAGGAAGAACACCAGUGGCGAAGGCGGCUUACUGGACUGUAACUGACGCUGAGGCUCGAAAGCGUGGGGAGCAAACAGGAUUAGAUACCCCUGUAGUC